ensembl:lncRNA
GUUCAUUCUAAAGAUCAGUCCUGGGUAUUCAUUGGAAGGACUGAUGCUAAAGCUGCAACUCCAGUACUUUGGCCACCUCAUGCGAAGAGUUGACUCACUGAAAAAGACCCUAAUGCUGGGAGGGAUUAGGGGAAGGAGGAGAAGGGGACGACAGAGGAUGAGAUGGCUGGAUGGCAUCACCGACUCGAUGGACGAAUCUGAAGACCCACAUUCCAGCCCAUCCCUGUGAAUCCACUCCUUCCUCCAAGACUCCAUAGGAUCCAGAGGAUCCAGGACAGCCUGAAAAUUUCAGGUGGAGGAGUGAGCCACUACAAGACCUGAAUCUACUAUUCAAAAAGGCCCUAGGCCUAAGUAUCCACAGCUACAGUCUUCCUUUUGCCUCUUGGUACUCCAUUCCACUUACAGAGAAAUAGAUAUAUUCUGGUAAAUGAUAACUAUUGUCUUUUUUUGCCCUCACCCUUGCUCUCAGAAUUCACUGAACUUUUCUGCCCUUGCUGGGUGAUUUAAAUAUGAUCCUGACUGGUGCUGCUAUAAAGCUAAUAAUUGCCUUAGCUUUUCUAUGACUAUUUUCCUUACCCACAGGAUAGACAUACAGCUCUCUGGUUUGCAAUGCACAAACUUUCAUUUCCUCCACCCAGUUGACAGAAGGCUGAAUUUGUUUACUCCAAGCUAAGUCCAUCAUGCACCAGAACGACCCCCUUCCCAUCCCAUAAGGAAUUUUAACCAAGUUCCUGAUGGAAAUUGCUCUUCUACCAGAGAUCCAAAGGCUCAGAACAGUAAUGUACAGGGUCAGAAUUGUUCAUUUUCCUACUGAAGAAAAUUCUAAUGUCUCUUGCCUAAGUCCACCCUUAGCAAUAGAAAGAGAAAAUAAAGCCAAACUAGAAGGACGAAGAAUUGGCAUUAACACACCCCAGAACUUUAUAGUGUCUCCUCCUAAACCAGAAUUCCAGUUACCUAUGUGUGCUCAGAGUCUAGAUUGCUACCCGAAGGAAGAAGGAUCAACACUUAAGGAACAAGUAUCAAGAUGGAGGGGCUUCCGAGGAGGCUCAGAGGGUUCAGGAUGGGGAACACAUGUAUACCUGUGGCGGAUUCAUUUUGAUAUAUGGCAAAACCAACACAAUAUUGUAAAGUUAAAAAAAAAAUUAAAAAAAAAAAAAAGAACUGACAUCUUGGGGGAAAAAAAAGAUGGAGGGGCUUUCGAGGCAGUUCAGUGGUAAAGAAUCUGCCUGCCAGGCAGGAGCUUU